CUGGCACGUGGUCAGCGCCCACCGUGAUUGCCUGGCACAGCUCUGCUGGUCUCUGCUGUAGCCCCUGGGUUAGCUACCACCUACUAGCUCCCCCCAAGCCCCCAUAUCCAGGCAUCUCUCUGGGCACCAGCCCCACAGCGCCCAGCAGGUAAGACAGGGCCAGCCGCAUAUGGUGACAGCAAGGGGUCUUGGACAGCCCUGCUCUGGGUGCAGCUGGUUCUGCAAGCUCACAAGGCUGGCAGCGCUCUGUGCCCACAUUGGCUAGGACAGGACCUGGGUGGCCAUGGAACAAGUGCCACAGCCCAGGGUCUCAGGCAGGACAAGGGAGAGCCAGCAGCUCUACCGUGCCUUCACCAGGGUCCCGGGAAACCGCAAGGGAGAAGGUGCUGCACCGUAAGCCAGGCCUGGGGUCCAAGGACUACAUGGUACCCACACCCUCUGCGUGCCCAUGGCAGAAGCAGCCCAUGGGGUAGGAAGCUCCCAUACAGCCAGGGCUGUCCACAAAGGGAAGAGAUGGAGCCUCCAGCCACCUGCACAUCAGACCUGCCCCAGGCCAGCCUGGCAGCCUGGGGCAGAAGGGACAGCCCCUGGCAGGGAGGCCCCACUGCCUGCCUCCCCCACAACAGAAGCCUGCACAGUCCACAGCACAAAGCCAUGGUCCCAGGCACAGGCGUCUGCUUCCAAGAGCUAGACGCUCUGCAGAGGCAGGAGAAUUUCUGCAGUGCAGCUGUGUCUUGCAGAACCUGCUCCUGUGGCUGCCAGAGCCGCCCCCCAUGAUCAGGGACAGGUGCAGGGGCUCCUCUGCGCUGCUGGCACCCAGCAUGCAGAGGGCCAGGUCUCCCUCACGUCAGAGCCACAGGUCAACGAGACCAGCUGCCCAGGGCUUUGCAGGCUCCUUGCCAGGGCCAGGUCCAAGUUGUGUGGGCAAGGGCCUGCACUGGGUCAGGAGCAUCGUGGUCUGUCUCUAGGCAACAGUGGGGCUAUGCAAUGCCCAAGCCCCCUCCAGUCACACCCAGGAUCCUGAGCCCCAGAGACGCAGUGACAUCGUCCCAUGGCCUAGCCCAAGAGAUGGCUGGCAGCAGCAGCCCAGGUGCUGGGGGAUGGGCCCCAGGAGGGCAAGGUAGCCUGGUGAACAGGGCAGGCACAAGGAGCUCCACAACCUGAGGCCAGGUGAGAGGCACUGUAUGCCCUAGGCCACGGGAAUUAGGACACAACUGCAACAGCGAGUGCCUGCAGCUCUGCUCGGGCCCUGCAUAACCACUGCACCUGGGACCCACACAGACAGGCUACUGCCAGACCUGCCCGAGGCCAAAGCUGAACAGCUUUGCCUGGCAGCAGGAGUGUUCCUCAGGGCAGGGCACUCCUGGUUGCAGUGGG